UGCUAUGGCCACGCCACUCUGAACGUGCCUGAUCUCGUCUGAUCUCAGAAGCUAAGAAGGGUCAGGCCUGGUUAGUACUCAGAUGGGAGACCACCUAGGAAUACCAGGUGCUGUAGGCG
rnacentral:rRNA from 1 species